rnacentral:rRNA from 1 species
CUACGGGAGGCUGCAGUGGGGAAUAUUGGACAAUGGGGGAAACCCUGAUCCAGCAAUGCCGCGUGUGUGAAGAAGGCCUGCGGGUUGUAAAGCACUUUCGGUUGGGAGGACUGCUUCUAGCACUAAUAUUGUUGGAAGUUGACGUUACCUUCAGAAGAAGCACCGGCUAACUCCGUGCCAGCAGCCGGCGGUAAUACGGGGGGUGCAAGCGUUAAUCGGAAUUACUGGGCGUAAAGCGCGCGUAGGCGGCUAGAUCAGUCGGGUGUGAAAGCCCCGGGCUUAACCUGGGAACUGCAUCCGAUACUGUCUAGCUUGAGUACAGGAGAGGAGAGUGGAAUUCCACAUGUAGCGGUGAAAUGCGUAGAUAUGUGGAGGAACACCAAUGGCGAAGGCAGCUCUCUGGCCUGAUACUGACGCUGAGGUGCGAAAGCGUGGGGAGCAAACAGGAUUAGAUACCCGUGUAGUC